GUAUAUAUUUAUGUCAUAAUUUUACUUAAUUAGGUCAUUUUAUUAAUUACAAUUUGCGGGACCUGCCUGACAACCCAGGCCAAAAAUCCAGGGAAUUUAACACUAUAUUUAACCCUGUAAAUUUCCAAGACACCAUCAAACCUGUACAUGGGGGGCACUGUUUUACUCAGAAGACUUCGCUGAACACAAAUAUUAGUGUCUCAAAACAGUAAAAUGUAGUGCAACGAUGCUAUCGUCAGUGAAAGUGACAGUUUUUUGCAUUUUUCAAACACAAAUUGCACUUACAUGGACGAUAUAAUUGUUGUGAUACGUUUUACUGUUUUGAAACACUAAUAUUUGUGUUCAGCAAAGUCUCUCGAGUGUAACAUGUACAGGUUUUAUGGUGUUUUCAAAAGUUACAGAGUCAAAUAUAAGGCUUGUGUUUCAGUUUUUUCACAUUGAAAUUCGACAGGUUGGUUAUGUUGCCUUUGAGAGCGUAUGGUAGCCCAGGAAUGAAAAUUACCCCCAUGAUGGCAUACCAUUUGCAAUAGUAGACAACCCAAGGUAUUGCAAAUGGGGUAUGUCCAGUCUUUAAUAGUAGCCACUUAGUCACAAACACUGGCCAAAAUUGGCGUUCAAAUUAGUUUUUUGCAUUUUUCACACACAAACAAAUAUUAACGCAAACUUUGGCAAAUAUGUGUAUUUUAUUGCAGUAAAAGCAAAUCUUAUUAUGACAUUCACAGUUAAAAUGUCACGUAGAACUAAAACAUUUUGUAACAAUUCUUAUUUUCUCCCAUUUUGAUAUUUUAUUCAUAUUAUUUAUGUUUCAUAGCUAAAUAUUUGAUGUUAAAUGAAAGCCCUGUUUCACCUGAAUAAAAUGAUAUAUAAUGCUUGUGGUUGCACAUAAUAUGAAAGAGGCGAAUUACGCCUGAACAGACAUAUAGCGCAAAUUCAAGUUUUUGUUUACGUUUUGUUUUCAGCAUGUGUACAUUUGGCUCAGUCCUUAAGGGGUUAAUUAUCUGUAAUUGAACUUUAAUUUAAUUUGCGAGACAUUCUCAUAGCACAUCUUCAUUGCAUUAUUGCCACUUUUUAUAGUUCAUAUUGAGUUUUUCCUAUGUCUGUUUACUUUCUAACAUGCAUUGGAGUUUUCAUAAUAUUGUCCUGUUGAUUGUAGAUUACAAUUUCAUAUGGUUGCCAGGACAACGCGUCUCUGCUAGACACUUUGAGGCGAGGCAUACAGUUUUAUGGCCUUAACUCGACAUGAUUGACGUCACUUCUGUUCCUGGCUUUCGGAGACAGGUUGCCAUGGCAAUCCACUCAAUACUCUAUAUAUUUCAUCAGUGCUAUGUAAUGUGUGUUUUUAAGUUACACCAGUAUUGUUAUACACAAGUAAAUGUAAUAGAAGGGGAGUUUAAAUCUUGGUAUACCGCGGGCUGCUGACGUCACUUCCGCUGUCUGUGAUGGUGUUCUAGGAAUGCUGUAACAAGUAUGGUAAGUACUGUCAUUCUGGUUUUACUGGUUUUAUUGGUGUAUGCUUAUUCUAUAUAAAUGUGAUGUGGAGGAGAUUGUAGUAGUUUGAGAAAAGCUCUUUGACACAGCCAAAAUGUCUGCUAAUAAAGUUUGCAUUAACAUCCUUGGGUCCCCGGGCAUUUGCCACUACUAUGUGGGAAUAUUGCCACCCCAGUCUGACAGGCACCACAUAUGAAUUUCUUAUCACUUGGCAUGUGCAGUCCCUAAUCUGAGCUACACUGUGCAAGAACCUCUGAACUAAACAAUGUAUAAUGGGAAAAGGGGGGGAGGGAGGAAGUUGAGCUUGUAUCAAGACUGUUAAGCAUAUAACUUUAGCACACUUCCUAAACUAGGAUUUGUAGCUGAUGGAGGUAAAGCAGCUAUAAAAAGGUAGUCAAAUUUGCACCUUGUUUUUGGAUUGCAUUUCUUAACAUUCUCCAUACAUAUACAGUUGCAAGGAAAAGUAUGCAAACCCUUUGGAAUGAUAUGAAUUUCUGCACAAAUUGGUCAUAAAAUGUGAUCUGAUCAUCAUCUUAGUCACACAGUCUGCUUAUUCUAAUAACGCACAAAGAAUGAAAUGUUGCCAUGUUUUUAUUGAACACACCAUGUAAACAUUCACAGUGCAGGUGGUAAAAGUAUUUGAACCCUUGGAUUUAAUAACUGGUUGAACCUCCUUUGGCAGCAAUAACUUCAACCAAAUGUUUCCUGUAGUUGCAGAUCAGACGUGCAAAAGGUCAGGAGUAAUUCUUGACCAUUCCUCUUUACAGAACUGUUUCAGUUCAGCAAUAUUCUUGGGAUGUCUGGUGUGAAUCGCUUUCUUGAGGUCAUGCCACAGCAUCUCAAAUCGGGUUGAGGUCAGGACUCUGACUGGGCCACUUCAGAAGGCGUAUUUUCUUCUGUUUAAGCCAUUCUGUUGUUGAUUUACUUCUAUGCUUUGGGUCAUUGUCCUGUUGCAACACCCAUCUUCUGUUGAGCUUCAGCUGGUAGACAGAUGGCCUUAAAUUCUCCUGCAAAAUGUCUUGAUAAACUUGGGAAUUCAUUUUUCCUUCGAUGAUAGCAAUCAGUCCAGGCCCUGACGCAGCAAAGCAGCCCCAAACCAUGAUGCCCCCACCACCAUACUUCACAGUUGGGAUGAGGUUUUGAUGUUGGUGUGCUGUGCCUUUUUUUCGCCACACAUAGUGUUGUGUGUUUCUUCCAAACAACUCAACUUUGGUUUCAUCUGUCCACAGAAUAUUUUGCCAGUACUGCUGUGGAACAUCCAGAUGCUCUUGUGCAAACUGUAAUCGUGUAGCAAUGUUUUGUUUGGACAGCAGUGGCUUCCUCUUUGGUAUCCUCCCAUGAAAUCCAUUCUUGUUUAGUGUUUUACGUAUUGUAGAUUCGCUAACAGGGAUGUUAGCACUUGCCAGUGACUUUUGUAAGUCUUUAGCUGACACUCUAGGCUUCUUCUUCACCUCAUUGAGCAGUCUGCGCUGUGCUCUUGCAGUCAUCUUUACAGGACGGCCACUCUUAGGGAGAGUAGCAGCAGUGCUGAACUUUCUACAUUUUUAGACAAUUUGUCUUACCGUGGACUUAUGAACAGCAAGGCUUUUGGAGAUACUUUUAUAACCCUUUCCAGCUUUAUGCAAGUCAACAAUUCUUAAUCAUAGGUCUUCUGAGAGCUCUUUUGUGCGAGUCAUCAUUCACAUCAGGCAAUGCUUCUUGUGAAAAGCAAACCCAGAACUGGUGUGUGUUUUUUAUAGGGAAGGGCAGCUGUAACCAACACCUCCAAUCUCAUAUCAUUGAUUGGACUCCAGUUGGCUGACAUCUCACUCCAAUUAGCUCUUGGAGAUGUCAUUAGUCUAGGGGUUCACAUACUUUUUCCACCUGCACUGUGAAUGUUUACAUGGUGUGUUCAAUAAAAACAUGGCAACAUUUCAUUCUUUGUGUGUUAUUAGUUUAAGCAGACUGUGAUUGUCUAUUGUUGUGACUUAGAUGAUGAUCAGAUCACAUUUUAUGACCAAUUUGUGCAGAAAUCCAUAUCAUUCCAAAGGAUUCACAUACUUUUUCUUGCAACUGUAUGUAGGAACAAUUUUGGGCACCCCUUGAUAUUGCUUUAAUUCCACUCCAGGUGUAACUCUAGUACACAGGCUGUAGGUUAACAUUCUUGAUAGUGGACAUGAGAGAUCUCUCUGAACAAUUCCUGUGCAUUGUUUCUCUGUAAUGUGUCCAGCCUAAUGCCACUUUAAUGCCCAGAACAUGUGUCAUUUGCUAACAAACUGAAAAUCUGUUUAGGCCCACAAAUUUCUAAACCCAUUUACAUGGGUAGCAUUGAAAUGUCAGUCAUUUUACUCUUGCCAUUGCAGCAGUUUGUCGUUGUGUUUUAGAGUGUUUUGAGGCUUGCCUUACUCACAUUUGACUUGUUCUUUUUUUAAUCUAUUCAUAUGGUGCUAGAGGAACCAGUAUAUCACUGUUGAGAAUUAAAUGAGGGUGCAAAGCAUUACUGAUACCAUGCAAAACAUCAUGAUAGGUGACACUGGAAAUGGAAUAUACAUUCAGAAGUGCAUCCUAAUUCAGAGGCCUAAUGAGAAAAAAGAAGAAAGCAAAACAAAUAUAGAGACACCAGUGUGGCGAAAACGCGCGUCGGGAUUAGUUUAGUGAGCGGGUGGUUGGAGCCAGACUAGGGACUAUGCUGCAGCUAUCAGAAUAAUUUGCGUGUGAUGCUCCGGGCAGACCACCCUCUCCAUAUCACUAGUAUUUAGACUAUUUUGUUUAUUUGGCGAUCCUCCAAUAGAGGCCACUUUGUUACACGUAGAAAGGAAUUUAACGUUCGAGGCCAUUGAGGGAAAUGAGUAGCAAGAUUAGGUUGUUAACAGAGAGAUAGAUUCUAGCAUUUCUUUCACCAUAGAUACAUUUGGAUUCAGUUUGAUCCACCAGGAAUCUUUUCUCUCUGUGCUACUAUUUACCUCUUAGCUCUCUUUCUCUCUUUUUAUUUGAUUUAUCCAUUUAUUAUUUUUUUCACUUAGCAUUUAGUAAUUGAUUUUAAAAGGUAUCCUAUUAAAAGUUAAAUUUUAUAUCACCUUCUUUUGGGUUGCUUUGCAUAUGUAGGGAACCUUUGGGACUGACUAAUUUAACCCUUAGGUGUCUCUAUAUUUGUUUUGCUUUCUUCUUUUUUCUCAUUGUACUAGUUACUAGGGGUUACCCCCCACGUUCCAUAAGCAACCCGACCUUAUACCCCUGUUCCUAUUCCCUUUUCUCUCUAGCUCUAUAAUUCAGAGGCCUGUUCUUUUGCGUUAGGAAGCCAUUUUGGAUGUCAUUUUUAUUUAAAAUGGCAUGGAUCAGUAUGCAUGCAGUGUUGUCAUACAGAUAUCUCCUUAAAAGGUCAAGGCUAAGCUUCAUUCACCAAUGAUUUUGUAUGUCUUAGCAAUUCUCAUUUUUAAUAAAAUGCCCAAAGUUUCCUGCAGGAAACUAAUGCACUCCAUAUAACAGAUUAUAGCAGAAAUAGAGUUCAGGGGAUGAAAUGACGCACCUUGUCCUUUCAAAUGCUUAUCUUGUUAUUUAUGUAUUGCACUUUCUAAUUCUCAACAUUGCUGGUCUCUGUGGCACAACAUAGAUUAGUACUCCCAUUUGCUUCCCAUUCAACAAUAACUAGUUGGUUGAUGCAUUUAGGGGUUGCAAACAACCCCUCAGGGCUGUUAAUAGGGAAUAGGUCAAUGGUGCUGAAAUAUGGUGCUCACUGCUAGACAGAAAGUGUAAGAUAAUGUUUGCAGGGCAAUGUUGUGCUCUCAUCCAACCUGACAUAAAAGGGGUAUAAUACUUCUUGGUGCUUACUGCAGGUUGAACUACCAUCAAAUUAAUGUGACUUAAGUGGGGUAAGAACAUGACACAAAACUUAGUACAUUAUGAAGCACGGAUCUGGAGCAUUUUUGGAGUUUGUUCUAUGGAGCGUGUUUUCAGACCUGUUACAGAGCCAAAGUUAAAUUUCAUGUAUCGCUCUGUAAUAUAGUUCUGAAACUGCUACUAUUGCUAAUGUGAGUGACAAUGUGAGUAAAGAUCUCAAUCUAUGUACCUGUAUGUUUCCCUCAUACUGGGUUAUGGUAUGCAGUUAUUUAUGUCCAGCUAUACUAAACUUAUAUUGAUUACUGAGUCCCAGUUGUUAUGCACUGGGAACAAUUACAGAUCAGGAAAUAGCAGCAUGCCUCUUAUUGAGUGCCACCUUAUUCAGAAUUCAGUGUAUAAUUAUAAUAAUUUAAAGUAUUGUCAUACAUAUGAUCCAACUUAUAAUAAUCAUAGGUCAUUACAAAGUAAUUCUUUGUAGCCUGAGGAACACAAGUAUGUUGUAAGAUAAAGAUUAGAGACCAAACACAAUUUAAACUUAAAAAAUGGUGUCUGAUUAUGAAUGUUAAAUAAUGUUAUAUUCCUUAUCAAAUUGCACCUGGACAAUUUGCAUAAUAUACAUAAGACUGUCUUAAGUUAUUUUUAUUCCUGUAUGUUACGGUCAUGAACCUCUAAGUUCUAAACAGGCUGUCAUAAGGACAAUAAAUACUGUUUGUAUGAUGGUUUAGCUCUUGCCGGAAUUGGUGGAAAAGGGGAGGCAGCUGAACAAUCCAAUCUGGAGUCUCUAUCUUCUGGUUAAAUACAGGAUGCUUGUGUGGGAAGGAGAGAGUAGCAUCGUGUUUGCAGGGGGUAUAUAGAGCAAAGGAGGAAAAAAAUGGAGCAGCUUUUUCUUAAUGUUGAAAAAAAAAAAAGAUUUUCUCAAUUUGUGCGGCACAUGAGCGGUAUAAUCCCCACUUAAGGAUAGUGACACUAGUGACCUGGUUGCAUUGAAGCCAUCCAUGCCAUCGCACUGCCUCCACCGUGUUUUACAGGUGGUUAUGCUUCAGAUAAUGAGCCAUUCCAAGCCAGCUGCAUACUUUUUUUCUUCCCAUCAUUCUGGUAAAGGAAUAAUCUUAGCUUCAUCUGUCCAAAGAUGCUGUUCCAGAACUGGGCCGGCUUUUUUAGAUAUUUUUUUUUGGCAGUGUCUAAUCUGGCCUUUCUAUUUUUUUUUUUUUUUUUAUAUUCUUUCUUUAUUUAACACUAAAAACAACAAAAAAUAACUCAUUAUACAGUCUUUAACAUGCAUUUAACAGCAAUAUUACCUAAAAGAUUGCAUUUAAGCUCUAAUAUCACCAUUUUGAUUUAUUCAUCAAUACAAAUUUUUACACACACACAAAAAAAAAAAACUAUCUACCUAUGGCCUUUCUAUUCUUGAGGCUUAUUAAUGUGGUGAACCUUCUGUAUUUGCUCUUGUGAAUUCUUGUCUUCAUGGUAGGCUUGGAUAAUGAUAUGCCUACCUCCUGGAGGCAGAACAACCCCACCACUGUUUUCUGUGGAUGUUGUUUCCAGGCCUUUUUGUGUUGCAGAGCUCACCAGUGCUUUUUUUUCCUCAGACUGUACCAAACUGUUGAUUUGGCCACUAUUCCUGCUAUCAAUCUGAUGGAUUUUGUAUUUUUUGCAGCCUAAGGAUGGCCUGUUUAAUUUGCUCUGAGAGCUCCUUUGACUGCAUGUUGUGGGUUCACAGCAACAUCUUCCAAAUGCGCAUGCCACACCUGGAAUCUACUUCAGACCUUUUUACCUGCUUAAUUAUUGAAGAAAUAUUAUGGGAAUAGUCAAUACCUGUCCAUGAAAGAGCUUUUCAGUCAAUUGUCCAAUUACUUUUGGUCCCUUGAAAAAAGAGGGGAUACAUAUUAAAGAGCUGUAAUUUCUAAACCCUUCCUCCAAUUUAGAUGUGAAUACCCUCAAAUAAUGAAUAUGUACUUAAAGUGCAGUCUCCCAGCUUUAAUUUAACUAUAACUUGAAUUUUAUUUGGUAAACAGCCGAAAUAACAAAACUUGUUUCAGUGUCUAAAUAUCUCCAGACCAAACAGUACCACCUGUGAAUACUGUGAGGAACUACUCCUUCCUUCCUUCCAACACUAGCAGGCUAUCAUAAGGGUAGUAAAAACAGAGGGGAAAAGUCUGCGCUUAAUAACAGGGAAGAAAGCAGCAACCCUAAAGAGGGAAUCCCUCAAGACCCUUGGUAAGAUAGGAAGAAAAAAGAGGAGUUAAGGGCUGCGCUAUUGUACAGAGAACAGUACCAUAAUAUAGAAACCAAUUGGUUGAAGUAUAUAAUCAGCAAGUGAUAAAACCUGGGUGUAAUAGUCUCUAUUGCAAUUAUAUAAAAAUAAUGAAUAAAACUGAGUCCAUCCAGAUGUUCAGUAAAGAUCAAAUGAUAAGAAAAUGUUGAAUAAAAUCAAUAAAAACAGUCUCACUGAUAUAUGGAUAGGGUAUGUGUACAAUCCUCAGGAGUUGAUCCGUCCGGGUUGUAGAUAAUCCGUAUAUGUUAAGAUAAAAGAAAACACAAAAAAACUGCCAAUGGUGAAAUAUUGUAGCUCCAAGGGUAAAAAUAAGUAGAAAGGAGGAUUGUACACUCACAUUUGAUGGAGCUAGGGCCAGCUCUAAUGCAAAUAGUGCUCUCAGUAAGAACAAUAAAUAAAAUAAAAUAUACUUACAAGAGUAGAGCAGAAAAUACUGCCACAGCGCUGGUGGAAUUAUCCCCACCUAUGGAUUUCUUGGAACUGGAUACAAUAAGAAUAAAAAUAAAAAAUGUAAGGAAUAAUAGUAAAAGUGUGUGUGAAAUACAAUAAAAUAAGUAAAAGAUUGGUCCUAUAAAAAAAAAAAGGUAACCAAAAAUAACUUUUGUUUUAAAAUACACAAUUUUGAUAAAGCCUUAUAGGUGAAACACAUUAAUGGUUUUAAAUUGUGUAUUUUAUAACAAUAAAAAAGUUAUUUUUGGUUGUGAGUAUAUUUUAUUUAUUGUAUUGUUCUUACUGAGAGCACUAUUUGCUGUUUCUUAUACCUUGUGGAAUAUGACGAACCCAAGCCGGACGGACGGACCUACCCUUCCAGUACAUCCUUUAGUGGGGAUUAUACCACUAAGUUCCCUUCACCCCAGAGCUGGCCCUAGCUCCAUCAAACGUGAGUGUACAAUCCUUUCUACUUAUUUUUACCCUUGGAGCUACAAUAUUUCACCAUUGGCAGUUUUUUGUGUUUUCUUUUAUCUUCACAUAUACGGAUUAUCUACAACCCGGACGAAUCAACUCCUAAGGAUUGUACACAUACCCUAU